UGCAGUCGAGCGGAGAUGAGGUGCUUGCACCUUAUCUUAGCGGCGGACGGGUGAGUAAUGCUUAGGAAUCUGCCUAUUAGUGGGGGACAACAUUCCGAAAGGGAUGCUAAUACCGCAUACGUCCUACGGGAGAAAGCAGGGGAUCUUCGGACCUUGCGCUAAUAGAUGAGCCUAAGUCGGAUUAGCUAGUUGGUGGGGUAAAGGCCUACCAAGGCGACGAUCUGUAGCGGGUCUGAGAGGAUGAUCCGCCACACUGGGACUGAGACACGGCCCAGACUCCUACGGGAGGCAGCAGUGGGGAAUAUUGGACAAUGGGGGGAACCCUGAUCCAGCCAUGCCGCGUGUGUGAAGAAGGCCUUAUGGUUGUAAAGCACUUUAAGCGAGGAGGAGGCUACUGAGACUAAUACUCUUGGAUAGUGGACGUUACUCGCAGAAUAAGCACCGGCUAACUCUGUGCCAGCAGCCGCGGUAAU
rnacentral:rRNA from 1 species